AAAUAGACAAACCCUGGUUUCCGUGCCCAACAUUUGACCGUCCGUCUUAUUUAAAAAAAUUAUGAAAAAAAAUUAAAAAGACAAGUCACGCAUAAAAUAUUAAUCAUGUUUUAUCAUCUAACAACAAUAAAAAUACGAAUUAUAAAAAAAUUUCAUAUAAGACGGACAGUCAAAGUUGGACACGAAAACCCAUGGUUUGUUUUUUU
rnacentral:pre_miRNA from 1 species